CCUGUCUCAGAGGUGUUCAAUAAAUGUGGAGGCGCACCUACUGAGAAUCAGUGCCAGAGUCUGGGCUUGGACCCAUGGACUUCAGCCUUUGCUGCAGCUUGGGUCAAGCAGGCCCCUACUCUUGGGUGCCCUUUGGACAAAGAUACUCCCCCUCAGGGCCUCUCCCCAAGCCUAGUUCUAGUAGGUUCUCUGGAAAAGGGUUGUGAAUUAACAGGCUUGUCCUGGAGGUAGCUCAACAAGGCAAGCAGAGCGCCCCUCCCCCCAUGCACACACACCCAGCCCCAAGAGAACCCUCCCCUCUGCAACCCACAGAACCUGCGCCUGUUGCUCCCUUUUCCAAGAGCCUGGCCCUGCUCUGCCUUCUUUCUCACUGGAGGAGACUGACACCCUCCCUUCCUGCUCAUUUCCAUCUUCCCCUGGGGCUGCACUGCCCAGACCACUACGGGGUUGAAAAGCAGACCCAAGGCCCGGGACAGGGAAUUAGAGAAGACAGAUGAAAAGAGUAAGAGAGGGCACAUCAUCCGCAAAGCAGCUUGGUGUAGUGGGAGAUGGGGAGGCCCGGUAUUUCAAGCCCCUGGCUUUGCACAGCGGUUUGGGCGCUAACCGGCUCCGUGAACUCUCACAUUGUAAAAUGGCUUUGGAGACCCUCUGCAGGUCUGUUACUCCCUGCCUAAAAAUCCUCCACUGGACCCCCAGUGUCCACAGAACCAAGUCAAAGUCGGAGCAAGGACUGUGUGUGGUGCUCUCCCCAAUCUGGCCCAGCUCCUCCAGGUCCCUCCACACACCUCACACUCCAGCCUCCCCACACCACCUCCUCUGACCAGGCACCUACUUUCACAUCUCAGAGCCCAUGCGCACACCAUUCCCUCUGCCUGCAAUGCCCUCCCCACCUAACCCUUUGCAACCUUUCCAGAGCUGCUCCUCUGCCCUUCUGUGGCAUUUUGGGUGAGCCUCAGUUUAGCAUGCAUUUCCUUCUGCUGUAUAUUGCCAGGAUCAGAGGCAAGUCUCUCUUCUCCCCAGCCUCUCCUCCCCCACCAUUUCGCCUCCUGCCUGAGGUUCCACAGGCCUCCUCUAUAGAGCUGAGCAAGA
rnacentral:lncRNA from 1 species